AUGAAAAUUCACACGAUGUAUUACACUUCUAUAUGUGCACAUAUAAAAAAAUUCAGAAUUUUUUGCACUGUAAAAAUCCGUUUCUUUGAAGUUCAAAAAACAGGCACAAUAUGCCCGUGUUGCAAAGUUACAAAAAAGGCGAGAUCACAGAGGCAAGCGCCCCCUUUAUAUUUUUAUAGAAGAAUUACCUUUUGCAUAACAACGCAAUAUGUACAGUUCGACUUCAUGAUUGCCUAUUCAACAGAGUUUGGCGUGGACUCACACGUUUUCUUUAAUUUUUGUCUGUCAUACGCUUAUACUGACAUAGGUUUUUCCUACGUGAUUAAAUUAAAUAUGAGGAGUUUCCUGCAAAAACAAUCUCAAGCACAGGCCACCCAGCACGUUCCCCGCUCUCUGCAACUGACAUGUGGGGUUGUCACACCACGUGGGCAGAGCAUACGCCCAGAUACAGAAGGUGGCACCGUAUUUGCACAGCCGGACAAGUUUAAGCACCAAUUUCGUGUAUUUUGCAACUUUAGGCACUAA
rnacentral:rRNA from 1 species